AACGAACGCUGGCGGCAUGCCUAACACAUGCAAGUCGAACGAGACCUUCGGGUCUAUUGGCGCACGGGUGCGUAACGCGUGGGAACCUGCCCUUAGGUUCGGAAUAACUCCCCGAAAGGGGUGCUAAUACCGGAUAAUGUCUUCGGACCAAAGAUUUAUCGCCUUUGGAUGGGCCCGCGUUGGAUUAGCUAGUUGGUAGGGUAAAAGCCUACCACGGCGACGAUCCAUAGCUGGUCUGAGAGGAUGAUCAGCCACACUGGGACUGAGACACGGCCGAGACUCCUACGGGAGGCAGCAGUGGGGAAUAUUGGACAAUGGGCGAAAGCCUGAUCCAGCAAGGCCGCGUGAGUGAUGAAGUCCUUAGGGUUGUAAAGCUCUUUUAACCGGGAUGAUAAUGACAGUACCGGGAGAAUAAGCUCCGGCUAACUCCGUG
rnacentral:rRNA from 1 species